rnacentral:rRNA from 1 species
GCUAGUAAUGGCAGGUCAGCAUACUGCCGUGAAUACGUUCCCGGGCCUUGUACACACCGCCCGUCACACCAUGAGAGUUGGGAAUACCCGAAGCCUGUGAGCUAACUUUUAAGAGGCAGCAGUCGAAGGUAGAAUCAAUGAUUGGGGUGAAGUCGUAACAAGGUAGC